UACGGGGGGAGCAAGCGUUGUUCGGAUUUACUGGGCGUAAAGGGCGCGUAGGCGGUCAGCACAGGUCAGUUGUGAAAUCUCCGGGCUUAACUCGGAAAGGUCAACUGAUACUGUGCGACUAGAGUGCGGAAGGGGCAACUGGAAUUCUCGGUGUAGCGGUGAAAUGCGUAGAUAUCGAGAGGAACACCUGCGGCGAAGGCGGGUUGCUGGGCCGACACUGACGCUGAUGCGCGAAAGCCGGGGGAGCGAACGGG
rnacentral:rRNA from 1 species